GAAGAAAAGGAAAGCUAGGCUUACUAUCAUUUCAGAUUAAAGAAACGUGUCUUAUUCUUUUCCUUCAGAAUUUCGAAGCCCUUAUUUUUCAUGAGGCUACUUAAAGAGAAAAAUCCAUCUUGCUGCCUCACCAGCUCUGCUCUGUUUUGCUUAUGGGCUCUGACAAGAUCACAGCUUGAGGAAUAUUUUCCCAAAUCAAGGCACAACAUGCUAUACUGGCUGUAGCGUGCAUAAGUACACCUGAUUGGGGUAGAGGAUGUUCCUGCAUACUUCAGCUCCUGGCAUUUUGCUGCACACUCAAACUGUCACAGAUUAUAUUUUCAAGGACAGCUAAUCACACUGCACUUAAACAAACAACAGUGUUCAGCUACGGAGUGUUGGAACAUCCAAGGUUAUGAGAAGAACAACAUAACACUUUAAAGGAGCAUAGUAAUCACUUUGUAAAUUCAAGUUCACUGCCAACUGUAAGAGUACCCAAAGUCAGGGAGCUUAAAACUUAGAGAUAUUGGCAUUUUU